GGCCAAGUCAUUUAUGGAAGGUGGAAGUCCCCGUUUGGCCAUCCAUGCGAGGUUGUUGUUCUUUGGAGCUUCCCUGUGCGGUGACUCAGUGUGUCCUUGGGUGGAUGUCUUUAUGCUGUGAACAGAUAUUGAACCCUGAACCACGCAGGACGUGGAAGGAAACAUUUACGACAUCUGGCGCCCGAGGGGGACUCUGGAAGUGAAGGUUUUGCUAGAGCGAAAAAACGAAGUUUCACUGGCAAAAGUGAGGAACGAAGAAUUCACCGUAAAGGUAGGAAAAGUCACCAUAAAGAGGGUAUGCUUGUAUAUUCCCAGAGAAUUUUUCAAAACCCGUGUGGAUUCCUGCUAGAAAUAUUAAACUGCAACAGGGAUCCAAGAGAGAAACUACACAGACUAAUGAGGACCUUGCAUCUGAAGCCACACCAUGCAGUUGCAGACAAUCCACUACCUCAGCCACAGAGAGCAGCGACUCCAAGCAGUCUACUGAAGCUGAGCAGCAGGAGGAGGACAAGCUGGACAACAAACAGCCUGGAGACCACCCGAGGCAUGGUAAAGAAGAUGGUACAGACGCCUGACGUCUGAGAACAUCUUUCCUGCCAUGCCAGUGGUAAUCAUCUGUACGGUAAUAUUACCUAGGGAAACUCCCCCCAAAGCAUGUGGGGAAUUGAAAAAUUUUACAAAAUUUAAAAAUGCGUCUGGGAUUUUUGUGCAUGUGUAAAGAGAAAAGCUGGCUUAAAACUAAUGUGCGCAU